rnacentral:snRNA from 1 species
GUGCUCGCUUCGGUAGCACAUGUACUAAAAUUGGAACGAUACAGAGAAGAUUAGCAUGGCCCUUGUGCAAGGAUGACACGUAAAUUCGUGAAGCGUUCCAUAUUUAA